rnacentral:lncRNA from 1 species
CCUCACUCCUCCAGAUGGUCCAGCUGAGGCCCUCUUGGACAACACUUCCUCUCCUGCCCAUGGUGGGAGGUUGGGAAGGACAUUCCCCCAUUUCCAUUUGCUCUGCCAUUCAAAACCUUGUGAGGGCCCUCAGGGAAGAAUCCCUUUGCAGAUGAGGAAACUGAGGCCCCACGUGGUGAAGACAAUUUUUACCCGAAUCCACCCACAACAAGAGACCAUUUGGAUAAUGUACAUUAUGGGAAGAGAACAGAGUCUCAGUGAAGAUCAUGUUUCCCCAGCAACACAGGUGCCAGGAGUAGCUGGCUCUGGUCCCAGCCCAGACUCAGAAAUCCUGAGCCACCAGACCAUUUCUAGAUUAACAAUGACCCACUGGAAACCAGUGUCAGCAUAACAACAGUUACGAGAGCUAAACCUACAAAAUAGAACACAGGAGCUAUGUGGAGAGUUGAUGGAGGGACAUUCCAGGCAGAGAGAACAGCAAACACAAAGGCCUUGAAGGGU